rnacentral:misc_RNA from 1 species
UACAGUCACUCAACUUUUUUUUUUCUUUAAAAGUACUUCAAGUUCAAUUUGGUGAACAACAAAGUUAUUUUCACAAUUUUCCAUCCAAGACUCCGGCGAUUUAAUGACGUGACAAUGCCAUGUGACAUUUUAGGGAGAAAAAAUUUCUCUUUCAUCCAUUUCUUCUAUAUUUAGACCCAUAAUCUCUCUCUAUCUUAAAACUUCUCAUUUAUUUCUUUCUCAAAGAAUCCCUACAAAAAAUUAAAAAAAAAAAAAAUUCAAGCGAAAUUUUUCGAUCUCCUGUCUACAGCAGCUUCCAGUAAAACUAAGGCUAAAAGAUCUUAGGAUGUCAGGCGAGGUUCUUAGAGCUUCGAAAAUGAUUGGAGAGCAAGAAAUCAAGAGGAGCAAUUUCAGGUUGCUUCUACACAAUGGUGGUUUGCUUACAUUCGUUCUUCGAUCACUCUUACACUUAUGCAUGAUAUCAAUUGUUGUUUCUUGUAAAUAAUGUUAAAAAUGGUUGUCUUGGGAACUUUGGUCUAUGUCCUCAAAUUUCCUCUUCCUGUGUUUAACAAAUAACUAAUUUUCCAUUAUUUAUGCACACCAUUCUUAGUUCCAAGUUUCAAUGUAUAUGGAAUAUUUAGGCUAAAUUUCAUUGGCGGUAACCAAACUUUAUGGGUUAUUACAA